rnacentral:rRNA from 1 species
UUUUCUUUGAAAAUAUAGAGUGCUCAAAGCAGGCUAAAAUGCCUGAAUAUUCGUGCAUGGAAUAAUAGAAUAGGAUGUCGAUCCUAUUUUGUUGGUUUUCGGGACUCGACAUAAUGAUAAAUAGGGACAGUCGGGGGCAUUUGUAUUCAAACGACAGAGGUGAAAUUCUUGGACCGUUUGAAGACAAACUACUGCGAAAGCAUUUGCCCAAGAAUGUUUUCAUUAAUCAAGAACGAAAGUUAGAGGUUCGAAGGCGAUUAGAUACCGCCCCUAGUUCUAACCAUAAACGAUGCCAGCUAGCGAUCUGCCUGCGUUUUUACUGUAGACUGGGCAGGAAGCUUCCGGGAAACCAAAGCAUUUGGGUUCCAGGGGAAGUAUGGUUGCAAAGCUGAAACUUAAAGGAAUUGACGGAAGGGCACCACCAGGAGUGGAGCCUGUGGCUUAAUUUGACUCAACACGGGAAAUCUCACCAGGCCCGGACACUGGAAGGAUUGACAGAUUGAUAGCUCUUUCUUGAUUCGGUGGGUGGUGGUGCAUGGCCGUUCUUAGUUGGUGGAGUGAUUUGUCUGGUUAAUUCCGAUAACGAACGAGACUCUGUCCUGCUAAAUAGUUUCUACUUCUCUUUUGAGUAGAGAUUUCUUCUUAGAGGGACUGGUGACUCUUAGUCACACGAGAUUGAGCAAUAACAGGUCUGUGAUGCCCUUAGAUGUUCUGGGCCGCACACGCGCUACACUGAAUAGAUCAGCGUGUCACCCUUCCCGAAAGGGACGGGUAAACGCUUGAACCCUAUCCGUGGUAGGGAUCGGGGCUUGCAAUUGUUCCCCGUGAACCAGGAAUUCCCAGUAGGUGCAAGUCAUAAGCUUGCAUCGAUUACGUCCCUGCCCUUUGUACACACCGCCCGUCGCUACUACCGAUUGAACAUUUUAGUGAGGUCCUCGGACUGAGAGCCUGGCGGGUCGCCCUGCCUGGUUUUCGGGAAGACGACCAAACUGU